rnacentral:tRNA from 1 species
AGGUUCGUGGUCUAGCUGGUUAUGACGUCGCGCUCACACCGCGAAGGUCCGGGGUCCGAAUCCCCGCGAGCCUACCA